GCACUCUCACAUAUAACCUUUGGGUUAAAAUGUGGAAUUGGGAUGCGCCGGUUAUUAUAACGGCCCUCCUAAAAUUAGUUCUUGGCUGCUUCCUACUAUAGCAGUUUGGCCUAACAGUUUUGAGUCUUCGAUUCAAAUCUCUGGCUAACAUUUGCUUCAGGACGUCAGUCUUGAUAUGCAGAAAUCUCAUUCAAA
rnacentral:misc_RNA from 1 species